rnacentral:rRNA from 1 species
UACGGAGGGUGCAAGCGUUUAAUCGGAAUUACUGGGCGUAAAGCGUGCGCAGGCGGUUUGUUAAGUCCGUUGUGAAAGCCCCGAGCUCAACUUGGGAAUUGCAGUGGAUACUGGCAGGCUGGAGUACGGUAGAGGAAGGUGGAAUUCCCGGUGUAGCAGUGAAAUGCGUAGAUAUCGGGAGGAACACCAGUGGCGAAGGCGGCCUCUGGACCGUCG